rnacentral:rRNA from 1 species
UCUUCUCCGCCGGCGACCGGCGCACGGGUGAGUAACACGUAUGCAACCUCGCCCCUGUCGAGGGGGACAACCCGCCGAAGGGCGGGCUAAACCCGCGUACAUGCCACCGGGGCAUCCCGGAGGCAGGAAAGGCUUCGGCCGGACAGGGAUGGGCAUGCGGCGCAUUAGGCAGUAGGCGGGGUAACGGCCCACCUAACCGACGAUGCGUAGGGGUUCUGAGAGGAAGGUCCCCCACACUGGUACUGAGACACGGACCAGACUCCUACGGGAGGCAGCAG